UGGCCUGUAGCUCAAUUGGCAGAGCAGCCGCCUGUUAAGCGGCUCGUUCCAGGUUCGAGUCCUGGCGGGUCAGC
rnacentral:tRNA from 1 species